rnacentral:rRNA from 1 species
AGCGUACACGGUGGAUGCCUAGGCAGUUGGAGGCGAUGAAGGACGUACUAACCUGCGAAAAGCCUCGGCAAGCUGGUAAGAAGCGCUUGAGCCGGGGAUGUCCGAAUGGGGAAACCCACUCCGUAAGGAGUAUCGCAACAUGAAUACAUAGUGUUGCGAGGCAAACCGGGAGAACUGAAACAUCUCAGUACCCCGAGGAAAAGAAAUCAACCGAGAUUUCCUCAGUAGCGGCGAGCGAACGGGAAACAGCCCUUAAGUCAUCUCUGGGUUAGGAAAAGGCUCUGGAAAGUGCCGCCGUAGCGGGUGAUAGCCCCGUAUCCGAAAACCCUUUGAUGGUGAAAACGAGUAGGACGGGACACGUGAAAUCCUGUUUGAAGAUGGGGGGACCAUCCUCCAAGGCUAAAUACUCCCAACUGACCGAUAGUGAACCAGUACCGUGAGGGAAAGGCGAAAAGAACCCCGGAAGGGGAGUGAAAUAGAACCUGAAACCGUGUACGUACAAGCAGUGGGAGCCCCUUCGUGGGGUGACUGCGUACCUUUUGUAUAAUGGGUCAGCGAGUUAUUUUCAGUGGCGAGGUUAACCGUAUAGGGGAGCCGUAGGGAAACCGAGUCUUAACUGGGCGAACAGUCGCUGGGAAUAGACCCGAAACCGAGUGAUCUAGCCAUGGGCAGGUUGAAGGUGCCGUAACAGGUACUGGAGGACCGAACCGACUCCCGUUGAAAAGGUAGCGGAUGACUUGUGGCUAGGGGUGAAAGGCCAAUCAAACUCGGAGAUAGCUGGUUCUCCCCGAAAGCUAUUUAGGUAGCGCCUCGUGGUGACACUCUUGGGGGUAGAGCACUGUUUGGGCUAGGGGGCCAUCCCGGCUUACCAAACCCAUGCAAACUCCGAAUACCGAGAAGUGAUACACGGGAGACACACGGCGGGUGCUAACGUUCGUCGUGAAGAGGGACACAACCCAGACCGCCAGCUAAGGUCCCAAAGUCCUGGUUAAGUGGGAAACGAUGUGGGAAGGCUUAGACAGCUAGGAGGUUGGCUUAGAAGCAGCCAUCCUUUAAAGAAAGCGUAAUAGCUCACUAGUCGAGUCGGCCUGCGCGGAAGAUGUAACGGGGCUCAAACCAGGCACCGAAGCUGCGGAUGUGCACUAUGUGCACGUGGUAGGGGAGCGUUGUGUAAGCCUGUGAAGGUGUGUCGUAAGGCAUGCUGGAGGUAUCACAAGUGCGAAUGCUGACAUAAGUAACGAUAAAGGGAGUGAAAGUCUCCCUCGCCGGAAGACCAAGGGUUCCUGUCCAACGCUCAUCGGGGCAGGGUGAGUCGGUCCCUAAGGCGAGGCCGAAAGGCGUAGUCGAUGGGAAACGGGUUAAUAUUCCCGUACUGACGUUUAUUGCGAUGGGGGGACGGAGAAGGCUAAACCAGCGCGGCGUUUGGUUGUCCGCGUGAAAGCAUGCAGGUGGAUGGUUAGGCAAAUCCGGCCAUUAACACCGAGGUGUGAGACGAGACUCUACGGAGUCGAAGUGGUUGAUGUCACGCUUCCAGGAAAAGCCUCUAAGCUUCAGAUAAACGUCACCCGUACCCGAAACCGACACAGGUGGUCAGGUAGAAGAUACCAAGGCGCUUGAGAGAACUCGGAUGAAGGAACUAGGCAAAAUUGUACCGUAACUUCGGGAGAAGGUACGCCACGUUAGCGUGUAAGGGCUUGCCCCUGAAGCGUGAGGUGGUCGCAGUGAAACGGUGGCUGGGACUGUUUAAUAAAAACACAGCACUCUGCAAACACGAAAGUGGACGUAUAGGGUGUGAAACCUGCCCGGUGCCGGAAGGUUAAUUGAUGGGGUCAGCGCAAGCGAAGCUCUUGAUCGAAGCCCCGGUGAACGGCGGCCGUAACUAUAACGGUCCUAAGGUAGCGAAAUUCCUUGUCGGGUAAGUUCCGACCUGCACGAAUGGUUAAACCAUGGCCACGCUGUCUCCAUCCGAGACUCAGUGAAAUUGAAAUCGCUGUGAAGAUGCAGUGUACCCGCGGCAAGACGGAAAGACCCCGUGAACCUUUACUAUAGCUUGGCAGUGAACAUUGAACCUGAAUGUGUAGGAUAGGUGGGAGGCUUUGAAGCUGACACGCCAGUGUCGGUGGAGCCAUCCUUGAAAUACCACCCUUUUAUGUUUGAUGUUCUAACGUUGCCCCAUUAUCUGGGGUGCGGACACUGCCUGGUGGGUAGUUUGACUGGGGCGGUCUCCUCCCAAAGUGUAACGGAGGAGCACGAAGGUUAGCUAAGUACGGUCGGACAUCGUACGGUUAGUGCAAAGGCAUAAGCUAGCUUGACUGCGAGACGGACAGGUCGAGCAGGUGCGAAAGCAGGUCUUAGUGAUCCGGUGGUUCUGAAUGGAAGGGCCAUCGCUCAACGGAUAAAAGGUACUCCGGGGAUAACAGGCUGAUACCGCCCAAGAGUUCAUAUCGACGGCGGUGUUUGGCACCUCGAUGUCGGCUCAUCACAUCCUGGGGCUGAAGUCGGUCCCAAGGGUAUGGCUGUUCGCCAUUUAAAGUGGUACGCGAGCUGGGUUCAGAACGUCGUGAGACAGUUCGGUCCCUAUCUGCCGUGGGCGUUGGAUGAUUGAAGGGAGUUGCUCCUAGUACGAGAGGACCGGAGUGAACGAACCUCUGGUGUUCGGGUUGUCACGCCAGUGGCACUGCCCGGUAGCUAAGUUCGGAAUCGAUAACCGCUGAAAGCAUCUAAGCGGGAAGCGAGCCCUGAGAUGAGUCAUCCCUGACCCCUUGAGGGUCCUAAAGGGCCGUUGGAGACCACAACGUUGAUAGGUGGGGUGUGUAAGCGUAGCGAUACGUUGAGCUAACCCAUACUAAUUACCCGUGAGGCUUAACC